ensembl:lncRNA
AUGCCAAUAAUCAUUAACAAAUGGCUGUAUUGUGUUAAGAAAAGUGUUUUAUUGCCUCUCGUGUGUGCAUUACUUUUAUUCAUUUACUCUCCUCUUCUCAUCUCUUCUACUGAAGUGGAUGGGGAAAUGUGGUGCUACCAGAAGCCGGGGUUUGAGGACCUCCUCCUCACUGAGCUGCAGAGACAGCAACAGUGCAGCCGGUUUUGUGACACUCUUCUCAAAGCAGGCGGUUUAUCAGUGCCAGUACACAGUUGUCUUCUGUCAGCUAUCAGCCCCCACAUCUCCUCCUCUCUUUCCUCUAAACCAGCUGCUCCUGGAGGACAGAGCCACCUUUUUGAGUUUAAGGACCUGAGUUUAUCCACCCUGCUCCGCAUAGUUGGACUUGUGUACACUGGAGAGAUGGCAGGAGAAGGAGAAAAGGAAAAACAAGAGGCUGUUUCUGCAGCAGCCAAGCUGGGCAUCCACGGGCUGGUGGAGGUUACAAAAAAAGAUUGUAGAAGCAAAACCAGGAAAGAAGUUGACUGUUUUGAAGUAGGAGUGCAGACAGAACCUCAGAUAGUUGAGGUGAUCCAUGGCAGCAGAUGGAGGAGAGAGGUGAGAAAUGGAAGUGUCUUUCUGUGGAAAGAGACACAAUCAAACGGUGGAAAUGACAUGCAGACUCAGACAGAGCAGCUGCAGAUAAACACAGCUCCCCCUCCCCAACCAACCUACUCCUAUGAGACUAUUGAUAUGGAUACGCUCCAGAGUUUAGGUCAGAAAGAUUCAUAUGCUGUCCCUCAGAUCGUCCCCAUAUCCCUCAUCUACCCACCAAAUGAAAACCAAGCAUGCCAACCUUCCUCUACGCCUUCUGCCUCAGAGCAACAAUCAGCAGCAGCCACAGGCACAUCUGUCACUGUUGUGCCAGUGCCACACACAUCUGCCCCUCAGUCCCUUCCUCAUUUUUCCAGUCAAAUGAUCCACUGUGCUGCUGACCAUCCAAACUGUUGGACUAGCCCUCAAGGUGCAGUGGCUGGAGAGUGGGAGGAUGCACAUAUUGAGCAGUUUCAAAGCAACAUCCCAGGAUUCAUCAACUACUUCCUGAGCACAGGCCAAGAGGAGUGUUCACGUAGGGGGAGAGCAGGGAGGAGACGAGGCACUCGGGUGAGCGGUAGCAGGAGAGGCAGGACGGGAGAAAGAAGAGCCAGGAGACCACGAGCACGAACGGGAGGGAUGGGUCGGGGAGCGUUUACUCAGACGGUGGACGUGCAGGAGGUAACUGUGGUCAAGCUGCAUAAACUUUUUCUGCAGAGGUACGGAAUGAGGGUACCCAGGACUGGUCAGGGUGGAGGAGCCGUUGGGAGGAAGUUGAGCUUGAAGACCCGAGAGCUUCUCAAUCCAGCCAAAGGCCAACAAAGAAGAAGGCGCAGCAAAGUGUGGGAGUUUAGCCAAAGUGGAGAUCUGCUGCUCUGCUCUGAGGGAAAAGAUGGUCGCAGCCAGCAUGGAAGGAGGCUACAAAGUCUGAUGACAGGAUCAACAACAUCAGUUCCUUGUCCUUUCCCUCCCAUGAGAGACUGCAAUGUUCAUACUUGUGUCUCCAGUCCUGCUAUUCAGCCUUCUCCAAACCCCAACCUGUCAUCACCUGCAACCUCCUAUGUGUCUUCAGCAAUGUCUCUCCUCCACACAGCCUCCUUGCCUCCCGCGCCCCCUCCACCUCAUGAGGACCAGCCUGAACACAUUGAACGUCUCCUGGAGGAAGUCAUGCGGGGGCUCAACAUUUUACCAAACAGCAACAACGCCGCUCGACAUUCUCAGCGACCCCUUUCACCAAUCAGAGAGCAGCAGUACUAUACUAAUGACACAGAAGCCGUUGUUGUAGACAGAGGAGUCGGUUGUUCCAAUUCUGCAAAUGGCGGCGCACCUGUUCUUCAGCAGCAGUCUGAGGGAGAGCUGAAUCAGAUGCUGGACCACUUCCUUCAGUCAUUUGAAAAGCAUGUUGAAAGCUCUAAUGUCAGGGAAGAGAGAGAGACGCCGCAAAGCUCUGCAGAGGCGAACCAGCCCAAAUACAAAACAAGAAAGAAUCGGACGCCUCAUCUACAAAAUACAGAAAGCCAGGAGAAUGCUGAGGGAACAUCAAGAAAAUCCAGAGGACAAAAGAAGAAGAAGAGAACAACAAAACAGUAUAUGUUCUCGUUAGAGAAAAAGAAAGUGAGGGUGAGGAAGCGGACAUUGUCAGCCGACAGAAAGAACAAAACUGUUCUUGACCAAAUAGAUAAACAGCUACAGCAGAUGCCUGUGGUAAAACUGGAAAGGAGAGGCCUGCUGCCAGUCGAAAGGAUACUUCAGGGACACAGCUGGCAGAGUCUUCAAAACAAGUGUCCUGAAAAAACAAGCAGCAGUGAGAAGCUGUCACCAGGUGUGUCACAGAAGAAAGAGUUUUGGAGCAGAAAGAUUUACCCAAUCAGGAGCAGAUUCAAGAAAGCACACAUUUUGGACUCUGAGCCCUUUCUUGAACAGCCCCCCUUAGCUGCCAAGCACCAGAAGAAAAAAAGAACUCCCAGUUCUUCAGAAGAUGAGAGAUUGCCAGUUGACCUAGAACUGCAGCAAAAUCAAGAGAACUCUGAAGAAGAAUCAAAUGUCCAGCAACAAGAAGAAAGUGCAGAGACAUUAAGGAACGGACAAAAGAGGGGAGCGGAAUUAGAUGAGGACACUCUUGUGAGCAAGAGGGUUUGCCUUGAGCCAGUGACACAUCAACCAACCCAAGGAUCAUGUAUACCACACCCUGUAGAUUCAGCAAGCAUGAAACCUGAGGAGAUAAUAGAUGUAGAGACUGUUUUUUUGUCCAUUGUUGGAGAGUGUUUGCAAAGAGAUGAACAAAAGGAAAGUCCAGUGUGCUGUGAAAUCAUGGAAGCUCUGGACCGUUCAGCAGCUGAAGAGGUAGAGAGCAGCUCUGAUGAGAUCAUUGAUGUGGAAGGAGACAAUGUGGACUCAGAGACUCUGGAGAACAAAGGAGCAGAAAAGGACCACAGCCAGGCCACAACAGCACAUUGUGAUGUUGACAUUAAGCCUUCAGUUUCACCUUCACUUGGUGGGUUGAGUGUGGAGUCAACACGAAGCCAGGAAGAAGACGAGGACAUCGAUGUGAUCGGAGGUUCCAGUCCCGUCCCUGAUCCGAUCAUCAUCAGCUGGACUGAAUCUUCAGAAACUGGGGAAGAGGAUGCGGAUGAGGAUGUUGACGUUUUUGAAGAAGAAGACAGACUGAACUGCUGUGAGCAAAAACACAGAGAGCUGUAACUUUGGCAUCCAUGAUGUCUGGUUUCAUUUUCCUUUUCUUUCUCAAUUUCUUUCAUUUAGCUGCAAGUUACAGGUGAUGAAGUUUCAAGAUGUACGUGAUCUCGUUUUGAAGCAGUCUUUAAAUUACCUUCUGUUUUUAUAGUGUUCAGACAAUUAUGUGAGAGACAUUUGUUUCCCUUGUCUGUUAAUGUUAAGGAAAAGAAGAUCUGUGCACUUAGGUUAGAACAGGACAACAGGCCUGUGUGCAGAUAUUUAAUUUCAAAUCUGUAAAGGUGCAGACUUUGUCAAGUUGUCAAAGGUUAGCACUUUACUUACUUUUACUUUUUGUACUUCUGGCAGUGAAUCACUGGUUUUAUGUACGGUUACAAGGUUUAUAUUACAUAUGUGUUCAGAAUGUGUUUGUAAUUGUUUUAAAACAUUUAGCAUUGUUUAACUGGAAACGUUCAGGUUUAGUACCGUCAAAGGACUAAUCAGUGUUUUAUAAGUUGUAUAUAUGACUUUAACCACAUAAGC